CUUCCUCUUGUACCAAGGCCGAGAUUAUUGCAGUAUUAGUGGUUGAUAGGUACAUAUAUAAGGGAACUCCCCUUUAUGGGCGAGGAAGCACCAGAGGGGCUGCCAAAAAUUUCUUCAUCUCUUGAAACGCCUUUUUGCACUCAUAUGUUCUAAAAUUGCUUCGUCGGUAACUAUAUGAUUUCAUAUGUAUUUUUAUUUUUUGCGACAUUUUUAAUAUUUUUUAUUUAUCAUUUAUUAUAAUUUUGAUUCACU
rnacentral:lncRNA from 1 species